GACGAACGCUGGCGGCGUGCUUAACACAUGCAAGUCGAACGAAGAGCGAUGGAAGCUUGCUUCUAUCAAUCUUAGUGGCGAACGGGUGAGUAACGCGUAAUCAACCUGCCCUUCAGAGGGGGACAACAGUUGGAAACGACUGCUAAUACCGCAUACGAUCUAAUCUCGGCAUCGAGGAUAGAUGAAAGGUGGCCUCUACAUGUAAGCUAUCACUGAAGGAGGGGAUUGCGUCUGAUUAGCUAGUUGGAGGGGUAACGGCCCACCAAGGCGAUGAUCAGUAGCCGGUCUGAGAGGAUGAACGGCCACAUUGGGACUGAGACACGGCCCAGACUCCUACGGGAGGCAGCAGUGGGGAAUCUUCCGCAAUGGACGAAAGUCUGACGGAGCAACGCCGCGUGCGCGAUGACGGCCUUCGGGUUGUAAAGCUCUGUUAAUCGGGACGAAAGGCCUUCUUGCGAAUAGUGAGAAGGAUUGACGGUACCGGAAUAGAAAGCCACGGCUAACUACGUG
rnacentral:rRNA from 1 species